AUCCCCCAGACAUGCCCGCCGGCGUUGCCGGUGACAUGCCCAGGUAGCCAUCGAUCUUCAAGGCUGCGGCGCGGCUCGUCCGCGCUGAUCGAAACCCGUUCGCAUCGCAUCCCUGACGCGAACGGCCACCGCAUCCGCGGUGGUGGAUGC
rfam:Immundisolibacter cernigliae strain TR3.2, complete genome.